rnacentral:rRNA from 1 species
AACGCUAGCUACAGGCUUAACACAUGCAAGUCGAGGGGCAGCAUGAAUCAAGCUUGCUUGAUUUGAUGGCGACCGGCGCACGGGUGCGUAACACGUAUCCAAUCUACCCAUGGCUCGGGAAUAGCCUUUCGAAAGAAAGAUUAAUGCCCGAUGGUCUCAAGUCAAGACAUCUUUUCUUGAGUAAAGAUUUAUCGGCGAUGGAUGAGGAUGCGUCUGAUUAGGUAGUAGGCGGGGUAACGGCCCACCUAGCCGACGAUCAGUAGGGGUUCUGAGAGGAAGGUCCCCACAUUGGAACUGAGACACGGUCCAAACUCCUACGGGAGGCAGCAGUGAGGAAUAUUGGUCAAUGGGCGAGAGCCUGAACCAGCCAAGUAGCGUGAAGGAUGACUGCCCUAUGGGUUGUAAACUUCUUUUGUUUGGGAAUAAAGUGCGGGACGUGUCCCGCUUUGUAUGUACCCUACGAAUAAGCAUCGGCUAAUUCCGUGCC